AAGUCGUAACAAGGUUUCCGUAGGUGAACCUGCGGAAGGAUCAUUAACGAAUAACUAUGGCGUUGGUUGUAGCUGGCUCCUCGGAGCAAUGUGCACGCCCGCCAUUUUUAUCUUUCCACCUGUGCACCGACUGUAGGUCUGGAUACCUCUCGCCUCCGGGCGGAUGCGAGGGUUGCUCGUAAGGGCUUCCCUUGAACUUCCAGGCUCUACGUCUUUUUACGCACCCCAAUAGUAUGAUGCAGAAUGUAGUCAAUGGGCUUCUCAGCCUAUAAAACACUAUACAACUUUCAGCAACGGAUCUCUUGGCUCUC
rnacentral:misc_RNA from 1 species